rnacentral:rRNA from 1 species
AACUUUCAACAACGGAUCUCUUGGCUCUCGCAUCGAUGAAGAACGCAGCGAAAUGCGAUAAGUAAUGUGAAUUGCAGAAUUCAGUGAAUCAUCGAAUCUUUGAACGGACCUUGCACCCUUUGGCAUUCCGAAGGGUAUGCUCGUUUGAGUGUCAU